rnacentral:sRNA from 1 species
GUCGAGUUCAGGACCACGGUCCGGUAUCA